rnacentral:rRNA from 1 species
AUUGAACGCUGGCGGCAUGCUUUACACAUGCAAGUCGAACGGAUUAGAGGGGCUUGCUCCUCUAGUUAGUGGCGAACGGGUGAGUAAUGCAUCGGAACGUACCGUGUAGUGGGGGAUAACCCGGCGAAAGUCGGAUUAAUACCGCAUACGAUCUAAGGAUGAAAGCGGGGGAUCGCAAGACCUCGCGCUAUACGAGCGGCCGAUGUCGGAUUAGCUAGUUGGUAGGGUAAAGGCCUACCAAGGCAACGAUCCGUAGCGGGUCUGAGAGGAUGAUCCGCCACACUGGGACUGAGACACGGCCCAGACUCCUACGGGAGGCAGCAGUGGGGAAUUUUGGACAAUGGACGCAAGUCUGAUCCAGCCAUGCCGCGUGAGUGAAGAAGGCCU